AAGUCGUAACAAGGUAUCCGUAGGUGAACCUGCGGAUGGAUCAUUAUUGAAAUCCACACAAACCCCAACAUUGAAUGUUUUGGCGGGUGUCGAAAGACGCGGCCCGCUUAUUAACACGCAAACACUGGACGAAACAGCCAAACGAGAACAACUUUUAACAACGGAUCUCUUGGCUCUC
rnacentral:misc_RNA from 1 species